rnacentral:tRNA from 1 species
GAGGGUAUAGCUCAGUGGUGGAGUGUGUGCUUAGCAUGCAUAAGGUCCUGGGUUCAAUCCGCAGUACCUCCA